ensembl:lincRNA Gm12082 predicted gene 12082
CCUCAUCUUCUCUAUGAAGUUAGCAACUUGACUUAAUAACAUUCCAGUGAUGUAGAAUGCUACUCCUCUCCUCCCCUCCUCACAAAACCAUCUCUAAACUCCUGAACUACUGCCCACAAAGUCCCCAAUGGUCUUUCACAGUGCUGGGCUGGUUGGUGGAUUAUAUUGAUGGAUUUUUGUAUACUGAACCAUCCCCACAUCCCUGUGAAGAAGUCUACCAGUUCAUGAUGCAUUCAUCAACUUAUGAGGUUCCAAGCAGUUGAUGUAAGGUGGAAAGUCUUAAGUUGUAUGAAAUGAUUCAGCCAUCCACAUCACAGAACUACAGCUGGGCCACACUCUGAGGCUGGAGAAAGUGAUUCCAGCAAUCAAGAUGGAUUUUUUUCAGCUCUCAUUCUCUGAACAGAUGCUCUACAAACAUAUAAACAUCUCUUCUAUAAACAGACAGUACUUCUGUGGAAAUUGGGAGGAAGAAUUUAAUUACAGCUUGGAGCCAACCCUGUGCACCACAAGGAUUACUGCCUGCAUUUGCAAAAUGCACAUUCUUCUCCCAUACACUCUGCUACAAAAUGUCUCAUUUGGCCAACAGACAGCAAGCACAUG